UACGAAGGGAGCUAGCGUUGUUCGGAAUCACUGGGCGUAAAGCGCACGUAGGCGGAUGUGUCAGUCAGAGGUGAAAUCCCGGAGCUCAACUUCGGAACUGCCUUUGAUACAGCACGUCUUGAGUCCGAUAGAGGUGGGUGGAAUUCCUAGUGUAGAGGUGAAAUUCGUAGAUAUUAGGAAGAACACCGGUGGCGAAGGCGGCCCACUGGAUCGGUACUGACGCUGAGGUGCGAAAGCGUGGGGAGCAAACGGG
rnacentral:rRNA from 1 species